CGGGGUUUAGCUCAGUGGUGUGAGCACCUGCCUGGCAAGCAUGAGAUGGUGAGUUCAAUCUCCAGUACCAA
rnacentral:tRNA from 1 species